CACAAACACAAAGAAAUCUGGUAACACAAAGAAAAUCAAUUGAACAGAUUCUUCUCUAGUUGUUGCCAAGUUGUUAGAUGUGAAUACUUUGAGUUCAUUAUGAUUUGCUAUUUUCAGCUGAAAUGGAAGUUCUUAUAAUUCGCUGAUUUCAGCUUUUGUCAGAAACAAUGUAUCAGAUUUUACAGUCUCUUUGGUUUUACUACAAUGUGU
rnacentral:lncRNA from 1 species